GAGAAAUCACAGCUUCUUCCAACAGCAGUCUGUUUACACUGACCCCCAUCCCCCCUAAUUCACUACAUUAGUCCAGAACACAGUUGGCGGUUCAGGUCCCGAUAGUUAACCCCUGACAGCUUCUUCCAACAGCAGUCUGUUUACACUGACCCCCAUCCCCCCUAAUUCACUACAUUAGUCCAGAACACAGUUGGCGGUUCAGGUCCCGAUAGUUAACCCCUGACAGCUUCUUCCAACCGCUGAUUGGCUGUGAACGUUACAGGGGGUUCUGGGUCAGAUUCUGGCAGACCAAUCAGAGACUCCAGGAGGCAGGUCCCGGGGUCGAUGGCCUGUGAUUGGCUGCUGGCGUAAC